UAAAGGAAUAAUGAACAUUAAGGACAAGAAGAUGGGAAUGCUAUAAAAUAAUGGAGACCUGUCACUGUAUUUCUAUUUACUGGACAGCUAUAAGCCUCAAAUUAUUGCAGGCCAACAUCAAGCUUGUAGUAUACAAAUUUUCUUCAAAGAUUAAUCCUUAAAUGACUGUCUUUGUCUUGACAGCUGCACCACGUAUGAAUGACCUUAUCAGCUCAGGAAGUAGGUUUAAAGCAUGUGAUUGAAGAGACGCUAGGUUUUGACUGUAAGGAAUGUGUUGGAAAGAUCUGGAAGUAAAUAUAAAGGGAGAAACAGACUAGAUCUAAGUGCAAAGAGGGUCUGAAUCCCAAACAUCUGAAAGAUAAGUUUGAGCAAAUUGAAGCGGUGAAGAGUUGUAGUUUGUGGUUAGGAAAGCCAGAAGAAGUAUUAGUUUAUUGAUAAGAAAACAUGGAUCCUGGAGGACCAGGAGGACCUGGAGGGCCUGGUUCUGGUCCAGGGGGGCCUGGAGGACCUGGUGGAGGUCCUUGUGGGGGGCUUUCUGCUUGCUUUGAUAGUUGUUUGUGGUUCCUAUGCUGUUGUGGAUUGCUGAGAGGAUGCUGUGGAUUAUGCCCACCUGAUGGGCCUCCUCCAUAGUGGAACAAACCAGAGAACCAGAUCCUUAUGAUGUGUAUUAUCCAUAGUAGUGUGUUCUGUAAUAAUUUCAAGUUUCAAAGUUAAAGAUCAAACAUUCUUUUAGAUUCUUCUGUUAUUGUAAAUUUUCUGCAUGGAAGUUUUGAAGGUACCCUUUUUCCCUUCCCAUUAGUUAUGAGCUUUCAGAUUAAAUGGUGUCCUGGAAUUUCCUCAGUCUAGGAUAACUGGUGUAUAUGGGGUUCUACCAGAUUCAGGUUGAGUUCUCAUUAGCUGAAAGCAACUUUGUAAGGUCUGCAGAUGGUGUGUCUUUCUCUAGUUCUGUUUUGGCAUAUUGGAGUUACAGUACAUUUGUUAUUAUUUUUAGAUUGUGGUUAGUGAUCCCACGUGGAUACCAAUGCACUAGUCUGGAUAUUCGAUUUGUGCAUUUUGUACUUAUCGAGAGACUCAUGUAUGUGUAAUUUUAUAUAUUUAAAUGUAUUGAUGUUUUAAGUUCA